CCUACGGGUGGCAGCAGUGGGGAAUAUUGCACAAUGGGGGAAACCCUGAUGCAGCGACGCCGCGUGAGUGAAGAAGUAUUUCGGUAUGUAAAGCUCUAUCAGCAGGGGAGAAAAUGACGGUACCUGACUCAGAAGCCCCGGCUAACUACGUGCCAGCAGCCGCGGUUAUACGUAGGGGGCAAGCGUUAUCCGGAUUUACUGGGUGUAAAGGGAGCGUAGACGGCCAGACAAGUCAGAAGUUAAAGCCCAGGGCUCAACCCUGGGACUGCUUUUGAAACUGUCGGGCUCGAGUGCAGGAGAGGUAAGCGGAAUUCCUAGUGUAGCGGUGAAAUGCGUAGAUAUUAGGAGGAACACCAGUGGCGAAGGCAGCUUACUGGACUGUAACUGACGUUGAGGCUCGAGAGCGUGGGGAGCAAACAGGAUUAGAUACCCUGGUAGUC
rnacentral:rRNA from 1 species